GCGAUACAGGGUGACAGCCCCGUACACAAAAAUGCACAUGCUGUGAGCUCGAUGAGUAGGGCGGGACACGUGGUAUCCUGUCUGAAUAUGGGGGGACCAUCCUCCAAGGCUAAAUACUCCUGACUGACCGAUAGUGAACCAGUACCGUGAGGGAAAGGCGAAAAGAACCCCGGCGAGGGGAGUGAAAAAGAACCUGAAACCGUGUACGUACAAGCAGUGGGAGCACGCUUAGGCGUGUGACUGCGUACCUUUUGUAUAAUGGGUCAGCGACUUAUAUUCUGUAGCAAGGUUAACCGAAUAGGGGAGCCGAAGGGAAACCGAGUCUUAACUGGGCGUUAAGUUGCAGGGUAUAGACCCGAAACCCGGUGAUCUAGCCAUGGGCAGGUUGAAGGUUGGGUAACACUAACUGGAGGACCGAACCGACUAAUGUUGAAAAAUUAGCGGAUGACUUGUGGCUGGGGGUGAAAGGCCAAUCAAACCGGGAGAUAGCUGGUUCUCCCCGAAAGCUAUUUAGGUAGCGCCUCGUGAAUUCAUCUCCGGGGGUAGAGCACUGUUUCGGCAAGGGGGUCAUCCCGACUUACCAACCCGAUGCAAACUGCGAAUACCGGAGAAUGUUAUCACGGGAGACACACGGCGGGUGCUAACGUCCGUCGUGAAGAGGGAAACAACCCAGACCGCCAGCUAAGGUCCCAAAGUCAUGGUUAAGUGGGAAACGAUGUGGGAAGGCCCAGACAGCCAGGAUGUUGGCUUAGAAGCAGCCAUCAUUUAAAGAAAGCGUAAUAGCUCACUGGUCGAGUCGGCCUGCGCGGAAGAUGUAACGGGGCUAAACCAUGCACCGAAGCUGCGGCAGCGACGCUGAUGCGUUGUUGGGUAGGGGAGCGUUCUGUAAGCCUGCGAAGGUGUGCUGUGAGGCAUGCUGGAGGUAUCAGAAGUGCGAAUGCUGACAUAAGUAACGAUAAAGCGGGUGAAAAGCCCGCUCGCCGGAAGACCAAGGGUUCCUGUCCAACGUUAAUCGGGGCAGGGUGAGUCGACCCCUAAGGCGAGGCCGAAAGGCGUAGUCGAUGGGAAA
rnacentral:rRNA from 1 species